rnacentral:rRNA from 1 species
GACGAACCGUGCGAACGUUAUUCGGAAUCACUGGGCUUAAAGCGCGUGUAGGCGGGACGGCACGUCGGUCGCUGAAAUCCCCCGGCUCAACCGGGGAACCGGCGCCGAUACGACCGGCCUGGAGGGACGUAGGGGGACCUGGAACUUCCGGUGGAGCGGUGAAAUGCGUUGAGAUCGGAAGGAACGCCCGUGGCGAAAGCGAGGUCCUGGACGUUUUCUGACGCUGAGACGCGAAAGCCAGGGGAGCGAACGGG